ACCUCGAGCAAUUUUUUCAUUGCAUAAGUUUGAUCUCAGAAGCUAAGCAGGGUCGGGCCUGGUUAGUACUUGGAUGAGAGACCAACUAGGAAGACUAGGUACUGUAGGCA
rnacentral:rRNA from 1 species